AAGACCUUAUGCUUUUGGAGCGGCCGAUGUCUGAUUAGCUAGUUGGUAAGGUAAUGGCUUACCAAGGCGACGAUCAGUAGUUGGUCUGAGAGGACGGCCAGCCACACUGGGACUGAGACACGGCCCAGACUCCUACGGGAGGCAGCAGUGGGGAAUUUUGGACAAUGGGCGCAAGCCUGAUCCAGCAAUGCCGCGUGAGUGAAGAAGGCCUUCGGGUUGUAAAGCUCUUUCAGUCGAGAAGAAAAGGUUGUGACUAAUAAUCAUAACUCAUGACGGUAUCGACAGAAGAAGCACCGGCUAACUACGUGCCAGCAGCCGCGGUAAUACGUAGGGUGCGAGCGUUAAUCGGAAUUACUGGGCGUAAAGGGUGCGCAGGCGGUUCUGUAAGUCAGAUGUGAAAUCCCCGGGCUUAACCUGGGAACU
rnacentral:rRNA from 1 species